AAAAAACAACCAAAACAGGCGUACAACUCCAAAAACUCGAACAACAAUGACAAGCCCGAUUCAGUGAAUCCACCAUCGAGCCAACCCAAAAUCGAUCCUAAACCAUUUCUUUUCCAUCUUUCACGCGUCUCACGCGGCAGUAGGAUAAGGAAAACCCUCGAACCUUCUAGAAAACGAGUUAGGUGUCAUCUCCAAUGGUUCAAUACCGUAAAUUUUGGGAGAACUCGUACGAUCUCGUAUAAUAUUUGGCUGAUUUCCAUAGGUUUUGGGGAAGAAUUCGUUUUCCCUAAAUCUCAUUGGUCCACCAAUUUCAAUAUUGGUAUAAUCGAUUGAUGAAACCCUAAGCGGUGGGAGGAUUUUUGAAUUCCAAAAUUCAAAAACAUCCUUCUUUUAAAAAGACCCCGGGGGUCACUAUUCCAGGGGAUUUUUGGUUUCUUCUCUCCUCUUCUUUCCCUUAGGAGUUGAAAAUUUUAGAAGCCUCUGUUUUUUUGUUUAGAGAAAUUUUGGGUUCAAAAAAAGGGGGAAAUUCUUAGAUUGGAAAAUUUUAAGUCACGGUUGAGGGUUACUUUUCCUUCUGAGGUGGAAAAAUUAAGGGAGAAAGCUAGGUUGGAACAUUUUUCUGAGAAAAAUUUCUGAUUCGAAAAAACUGAGAUAGAGGGAAGAAAGAAAAAGAAAAGAUUUCUGAAGAAAGAUUAAAUCUUUGAAGUUUUCCGGUGGUAGUGAUCCCUGUAUCAGUUCGUCAUCUUGUUUUGCUGCUCCCGAAAAGGUAACAUCCUAUUUUCGUUUAAUUUUGAUUAUAUUUCUGCUCCAUCUCAUUAUUCUAUAGUGAUGACUAGCAUUCCAAAGAUUUUGUAAGCUAGGUUGUCUGCUGUAGAGGUCUUCAAGACCACAAGUUUCCAUUUUAGUGAAAGGAAAUAUUUCUUUGUAGUUCUACGUUGGGAUGAAUUCCUAUUGUGAUUGUAUAACAUGUGGUGUUCAUUGUCUUUAGAUCUCAAUUUCGUGAUUGGUCAUCUACUCUCAGCAUUACUGAUUAAUUUCUAUCCUAAUGCAUCAUCUUGUGGACUGUCUGUGAUUUGAAGCAGUUGAAGAUCAUAUUUUGAUUCUGUCUUAACAAUUUUCAUCCUCUUGUUGCCUUGAUUCGUAGUUGUAGUUUUAUAAUCUUAAGUGCUCAGUGUAGCUCGUUGGGAGUUUAUGAAAGCCCCAAGUUUCAUAUGAUAAACUGUGAGCUUUCAAACUUUGUUGUUGUUUCUGCAUUUAGGACACAUUAAUUUUUAGAGUUUCCUAUUUCCUUAUAAUUCAUAUGGGAGCAUUUGCUUUUGUUCAUAUUUUGAAGUUGAUUCAUUUCUCUUGAAAUUCUAUAUUUUGAACCAUCGUGGGUUCCUUUUCAUCGAUUGAUCCAUCAUAUUACUUAUUUGUGUGUCAUCUGGUAUUCUAGAUGGAUUUUGAUUUCCUUUAUCUUUUUCCUUGCAUGUGAAUUCAUUUUGGAAUCUGAAUGGAUUCUUUCCCAUUGCAUCUCUUAAUGGUCCAUUAAGGCCCUCCAUGCCAUCAAGUCAAGCCCCUAAAGAAAGCCUAAAAUGAAUUUCAUGGCGUACGGAUACGAGACGUCGAAAGAAGAGAGACGAUGGGUUAAAGCCCCAUCUUUAAAGUGGCAAAGAGACUCAAAAGUCUCAUUUAUUAGUUUAUUUAUUUACUUAUCGAUUUUAUUCAUUUUAUUUAUUUAUUUAUU
rnacentral:lncRNA from 1 species